rnacentral:rRNA from 1 species
UACGGAGGGUGCAAGCGUUAUCCGGAUUCACUAGGUUUAAAGGGUGCGUAGGUGGGUUGGUAAGUCAGUGGUGAAAUCUCCGAGCUUAACUUGGAAACUGCCAUUGAUACUAUCAGUCUUGAAUAUUGUGGAGGUCAGCGGAAUAUGUCAUGUAGCGGUGAAAUGCUUAGAUAUGACAUAGAACACCAAUUGCGAAGGCAGCUGGCUACACAUAUAUUGACACUGAGGCACGAAAGCGUGGGGAUCAAACAGG